rnacentral:rRNA from 1 species
AACGAACGCUGGCGGCAGGCUUAACACAUGCAAGUCGAACGCCCCGCAAGGGGAGUGGCAGACGGGUGAGUAACGCGUGGGAAUCUACCCAGAUCUACGGAACAACAGUUGGAAACGACUGCUAAUACCGUAUACGCCCUACGGGGGAAAGAUUUAUCGGAUUUGGAUGAGCCCGCGUUGGAUUAGCUAGUUGGUGGGGUAAUGGCCUACCAAGGCGACGAUCCAUAGCUGGUCUGAGAGGAUGAUCAGCCACACUGGGACCGAGACACGGCCCAGACUCCUACGGGAGGCAGCAGUGGGGAAUAUUGGACAAUGGGCGCAAGCCUGAUCCAGCCAUGCCGCGUGAGUGAUGAAGGCCCUAGGGUUGUAAAGCUCUUUCACCGAUGAAGAUAAUGACGGUAGUCGGAGAAGAAGCCCCGGCUAACUUCGUGCCAGCCGCCGCAGUAAGAC